GAACGCUAGCGGCAGGCUUAACACAUGCAAGUCGAGGGCAUCGAGAGAGUAGCAAUACUUUUGUCGGCGACCGGCGGACGGGUGCGUAACGCGUAUGCAACCUACCUUAUACAGGGGGAUAACCUUUCGAAAGGGAGACUAAUACCGCAUAACAUUACUUUGAGGCAUCUUGAGGUAAUUAAAUCUUCGGAGGUAUAAGAUGGGCAUGCGUAGCAUUAGCUAGAUGGUGCGGUAACGGCGUACCAUGGCGACGAUGCUUAGGGGUUCUGAGAGGAAGGUCCCCCACACUGGUACUGAGAUACGGACCAGACUCCUACGGGAGGCAGCAGUGAGGAAUAUUGGUCAAUGGUCGAGAGACUGAACCAGCCAUGCCGCGUGAAGGUCACGGCCCUAUGGGUCUUAAACUUCUUUUGCAAGGGAGCAAUAAGUCCCACGUGUGGGAUGAUGAGAGUACCUUGCGAAUAAGCAUCGGCUAACUCCGUG
rnacentral:rRNA from 1 species